AGCAGCCGCGGUAAUUCCAGCUCCAAUAGCGUAUAUUAAAGUUGUUGCAGUUAAAAAGCUCGUAGUUGAAUUUCGGGGUCAAUAGGUUGGUCGUGCCAAUGGUAUGUACUGGCUUUAUUGAUUCCUACCUCUUGACGAACUGUGAUGCCAUUAAUUUGGUGUUGCAGGAAAUCAGGACUGUUACCUUGAAAAAAUUAGAGUGUUUAAAGCAGGCUUACGCUUGAAUACAUUAGCAUGGAAUAAUGAAAUAGGACGUUUGAACCUAUUUUGUUGGUUUCUAGGAUCGACGUAAUGAUUAAUAGGGAUAGGUUGGG
rnacentral:rRNA from 1 species